rnacentral:rRNA from 1 species
CCUACGGGUGGCAGCAGUGAGGAAUAUUGGUCAAUGGGCGCGAGCCUGAACCAGCCAAGUAGCGUGAAGGAUGACUGCCCUACGGGUUGUAAACUUCUUUUAUAAAGGAAUAAAGUGAGGCACGUGUGCCUCUUUGUAUGUACUUUAUGAAUAAGGAUCGGCUAACUCCGUGCCAGCAGCCGCGGUAAUACGGAGGAUCCGAGCGUUAUCCGGAUUUAUUGGGUUUAAGGGUGGCGUAGCUGGGUUGUUAAGUCAGUUGUGAAAGUUGGCGGCUCAACCGGAAAAUUGCAAUUGAUACUGGCAGCCUUGAGUACAGUUGAGGUAGGCGGAAUUCGUGGUGUAGCGGUGAAAUGCUUAGAUAUCACGAAGAACACCGAUUGCGAAGGCAGCUUACUAAACUGCCACUGACGUUGAUGCUCGAAAGUGUGGGUAGCAAACAGGAUUAGAUACCCCUGUAGUC